rnacentral:rRNA from 1 species
UACGAAGGGGGCUAGCGUUGCUCGGAAUGACUGGGCGUAAAGGGCGCGUAGGCGGUUUGUAUAGUCAGGUGUGAAAUUCCCGGGCUCAACCUGGGGGCUGCACUUGAUACGUAUGGACUGGAGUGGGGAAGAGGGUCGUGGAAUUCCCAGUGUAGAGGUGAAAUUCGUAGAUAUUGGGAAGAACACCGGUGGCGGAGGCGGCGACCUGGUCCUUGACUGACGCUGAGGCGCGAAAGCGUGGGGAGCAAACAGG